rnacentral:lncRNA from 1 species
AGUUAGCGACAGGGAGGGAUGCGCGCCUGGGUGUAGUUGUGGGGGAGGAAGUGGCUAGCUCAGGGCUUCAGGGGACAGACAGGGAGAGAUGACUGAGUUAGAUGAGACGAGGGGGCGGGCUGGGGGUGCGAGAAGGAAGCUUGGCAAGGAGACUAGGUCUAGGGGGACCACAGUGGGGCAGGCUGCAUGGAAAAUAUCCGCAGGGUCCCCCAGGCAGAACAGCCACGCUCCAGGCCAGGCUGUCCCUACUGCCUGGUGGAGGGGGAACUUGACCUCUGGGAGGGCGCCGCUCUUGCAUAGCUGAGCGAGCCCGGGUGCGCUGGUCUGUGUGGAAGGAGGAAGGCAGGGAGAGGUAGAAGGGGUGGAGGAGUCAGGAGGAAUAGGCCGCAGCAGCCCUGGAAAUGAUCAGGAAGACCAAGGGCUGUGAACCCGCCUGGGGAUGAGGCCUGGUCUUGUGGAACUGAACUUAGCUCGACGGGGCUGACCGCUCUGGCCCAGGGUGGUAUGUAAUUUUCGCUCGGCCUGGGACGGGGCCCAGGCCGGGCCCAGCCUGGUGGAGCGUCCAGGUCUGGGUGCGAAGCCAGGCCCCUGGGCGGAGGUGAGGGGUGGUCUGAGGAGUGAUGUGGAGUUAAGGCGCCAUCCUCACCGGUGACUGGUGCGGCACCUAGCAUGUUUGACAGGCGGGGACUGCGAGGCACGCUGCUCGGGUGUUGGGGACAACAUUGACCAACGCUUUAUUUUCCAGGUGGCAGUGCUCCUUUUGGACUUUUCUCUAGGUUUGGCGCUAAACUCUUCUUGUGAGCUCACUCCACCCCUUCUUCCUCCCUUUAACUUAUCCAUUCACUUAAAACAUUACCUGGUCAUCUGGUAAGCCCGGGACAGUAAGCCGAGUGGCUGUUGGAGUCGGUAUUGUUGGUAAUGGUGGAGGAAGAGAGGCCUUCCCGCUGAGGCUGGGGUGGGGCGGAUCGGUGUUGCUUGCCUGCAGAGAGGGUGGGGAGUGAAUGUGCACCCUUGGGUGGGCCUGCAGCCAUCCAGCUGAAAGUUACAAAAAUGCUUCAUGGACCGUGGUUUGUUACUAUAGUGUUCCUCAUGGCGAGCAGAUGGAACCGGGAGACAUGGAGUCCCUGGCCAGUGUGAGUCCUAGCAUUGCAGGAGGGGAGACCCUGGAGGAGAGAGCCCGCCUCAAUUGAUGCCUGCAGAUUGAAUUUCCAGAGGCUUAGGAGGAGGAAGUUCUCCAAUGUUCUGUUUCCAGGCCUUGCUCAGGAAGCCCUGUAUUCAGGAGGCUACCAUUUAAAGUUUGCAGAUGAGCUUAUGGGGGGCAAUCUUAAAAAGUCCACAGCAGAUGCAUCCGGCUCGAGGGGCCAUCAGCUUUGAAUAAAUGCUUGUUCCAGAGCCCAUGAAUGCCAGCAGGCACCCCUCCUUUCCUGGGGUAAAGGUUUUCAGAUGCUGCAUCUUCUAAAUUGAGCCUCCGGUCAUACUAGUUUUGUGCUUGGAACCUUGCUUCAAGAAGAUCCCUAAGCUGUAGAACAUUUUAACGUUGAUGCCACAACGCAGAUUGAUGCCUUGUAGAUGGAGCUUGCAGAUGGAGCCCCGUGACCUCUCACCUACCCACCUGUUUGCCUGCCUUCUUGUGCGUUUCUCGGAGAAGUUCUUAGCCUGAUGAAAUAACUUGGGGCGUUGAAGAGCUGUUUAAUUUUAAAUGCCUUAGACUGGGGAUAUAUUAGAGGAAGCAGAUUGUCAAAUUAAGGGUGUCAUUGUGUUGUGCUAAACGCUGGGAGGGUACAAGUUGGUCAUUCCUAAAUCUGUGUGUGAGAAAUGGCAGGUCUAGUUUGGGCAUUGUGAUUGCAUUGCAGAUUACUAGGAGAAGGGAAUGGUGGGUACACCGGUAGUGCUCUUUUGUUCUUGCUUCGUUUUUUUAAACUUGAACUUUACUUCGUUAGAUUUCAUAAUACUUUCUUGGCAUUCUAGUAAGAGGACCCUGAGGUGGGAGUUGUGGGGGACGGGGAGAAGGGGACAGCUUGGCACCGGUCCCGUGGGCGUUGCAGUGUGGGGGAUGGGGGUAUGCAGCUUGGCACUGGUACUGGGAGGGAUGAGGGUGAAGAAGGGGAGAGGGUUGGUUAGAGAUACAGUGUGGGUGGUGGGGGUGGUAGGAAAUGCAGGUUGAAGGGAAUUCUCUGGGGCUUUGGGGAAUUUAGUGCGUGGGUGAGCCAAGAAAAUACUAAUUAAUAAUAGUAAGUUGUUAGUGUUGGUUAAGUUGUUGCUUGGAAGUGAGAAGUUGCUUAGAAACUUUCCAAAGUGCUUAGAACUUUAAGUGCAAACAGACAAACUAACAAACAAAAAUUGUUUUGCUUUGCUACAAGGUGGGGAAGACUGAAGAAGUGUUAACUGAAAACAGGUGACACAGAGUCACCAGUUUUCCGAGAACCAAAGGGAGGGGUGUGUGAUGCCAUCUCACAGGCAGGGGAAAUGUCUUUACCAGCUUCCUCCUGGUGGCCAAGACAGCCUGUUUCAGAGGGUUGUUUUGUUUGGGGUGUGGGUGUUAUCAAGUGAAUUAGUCACUUGAAAGAUGGGCGUCAGACUUGCAUACGCAGCAGAUCAGCAUCCUUCGCUGCCCCUUAGCAACUUAGGUGGUUGAUUUGAAACUGUGAAGGUGUGAUUUUUUCAGGAGCUGGAAGUCUUAGAAAAGCCUUGUAAAUGCCUAUAUUGUGGGCUUUUAACGUAUUUAAGGGACCACUUAAGACGAGAUUAGAUGGGCUCUUCUGGAUUUGUUCCUCAUUUGUCACAGGUGUCUUGUGAUUGAAAAUCAUGAGCGAAGUGAAAUUGCAUUGAAUUUCAAGGGAAUUUAGUAUGUAAAUCGUGCCUUAGAAACACAUCUGUUGUCUUUUCUGUGUUUGGUCGAUAUUAAUAAUGGCAAAAUUUUUGCCUAUCUAGUAUCUUCAAAUUGUAGUCUUUGUAACAACCAAAUAACCUUUUGUGGUCACUGUAAAAUUAAUAUUUGGUAGACAGAAUCCAUGUACCUUUGCUAAGGUUAGAAUGAAUAAUUUAUUGUAUUUUUAAUUUGAAUGUUUGUGCUUUUUAAAUGAGCCAAGACUAGAGGGGAAACUAUCACCUAAAAUCAGUUUGGAAAACAAGACCUAAAAAGGGAAGGGGAUGGGGAUUGUGGGGAGAGAGUGGGCGAGGUGCCUUUACUACAUGUGUGAUCUGAAAACCCUGCUUGGUUCUGAGCUGCGUCUAUUGAAUUGGUAAAGUAAUACCAAUGGCUUUUUAUCAUUUCCUUCUUCCCUUUAAGUUUCACUUGAAAUUUUAAAAAUCAUGGUUAUUUUUAUCGUUGGGAUCUUUCUGUCUUCUGGGUUCCAUUUUUUAAAUGUUUAAAAAUAUGUUGACAUGGUAGUUCAGUUCUUAACCAAUGACUUGGGGAUGAUGCAAACAAUUACUGUCGUUGGGAUUUAGAGUGUAUUAGUCACGCAUGUAUGGGGAAGUAGUCUCGGGUAUGCUGUUGUGAAAUUGAAACUGUAAAAGUAGAUGGUUGAAAGUACUGGUAUGUUGCUCUGUAUGGUAAGAACUAAUUCUGUUACGUCAUGUACAUAAUUACUAAUCACUUUUCUUCCCCUUUACAGCACAAAUAAAGUUUGAGUUCUAAACUCAUUAGAAUUGUUGUAUUGCUAUGUUACAUUUCUCGACCCCUAUCACAUUGCCUUCAUAACGACUUUGGAUGUAUCUUCAUAUUGUAGAUUUAGGUCUAGAUUUGCUAGCUCCAAGUAAUUAAGGCCAUGUAGGAGAGCAUGGUAACCACAGAUAGAACUGGUAUUAUCCCAAGUGGUCUGCAGACUGCUGAGUGGGGAUGGGAUCUGCUCUCUGUUGAGAGUUGGUAAUCAUUGGUUUGAAAUGUGAUGAAACCACUCAAGCCAAUGAAGGUGGGUGUGUAGGUGGGGAGUACUUUGCCAUAAUAUUUUAAAACAUUACCUGGUUAGAGUUCUAAGUGGUACUUAUUUUUGUUUGGUUAGGGGAAAGCCUGAAUAAAAACAGAAAUGGACACAUAAUAUGCAUAUUCCAUAGUCUUUGGGAGGCUGGAAUGUGCCUGGGAUUUGGGUCUAAGUGUAUGCGUAAUUCUUACCUCACUAAAGAAUUUGCCUUGUUUUUUUCCUUUUGGUGAGUGACUAAAACGUCUGGGCUUCCCUGUGUGCGUGCUACAGUAAGCAAGCAGAGGCUGUGCAAAGGUGUGAGCAGGAUCACGUGGAAUCUGGAGGAUACAUCUUGGCUUGCAAACUGCCUCUGUCUCCUGGGUGGGACUGUUCUGUCCUUGCACUGCUGUUCUGUGUUACCUCUUGGGGUGUAAGGUUUUGCUUACAGGAGACAAACUUUGGGCGUAGAAUGGAAGCCACUGCCAGCCUCUGUGCUGAGAAGGAAGGUGCUUGUUUCAAAGGGAGCAGCAAGGGAGGCUUGUUCUACUCACCUGGGCCUGUUUGCCUGAGAAGGGGAGAUAAGGGCUGAACUGGGACUAGCCAGGGGGACCAACACAAAUGGUGGGGGAUCAUGACCUGAAGGAUUCUUUCCUUCCCAUGAGCUGCAGGGCUGGUUGCCGUCCUUGCAACUGUGUCUUAUUUGCCUGUGCCGUUAUAUCUUGGUGACCCCUCCACGUGUACACUACUGACAAACGGGUGGAGUGCUGGGGAGAAGUCACUGUGCCGCCCACCUAGUAAACCUUCUGUCUGUGCUCAUGGCAUCUCCAAGAUGGGGCACUGCUGUGUGCAGAAUCCAGGGUCCUCUUUCUGCUUGCAACUCCUUUCCCUGGAUGCCCCAGAAACAAUCCAGGCCUCCUUUCCUAUCUUACCCCUUUGCUUUGCUUUUUACCCCAGCACCUCUAUAACCGCCUUCUCUUCUUUUCAGAACUCCUUGUUUCUCGUCCUGUUUUUUAUGAUUACAAAACUCUUGCUUCCACCCUGGAAGAUAACUGCUAUAGAUGCCUGUAUGUAAAUGGUGCUGUCUCCAGCAACUGGCAUGCUGAAGAAGAAUUGAUUCACGGGGUAUAAAUGUUGGGGAUUGGAAGUGGGGAUGAAAUGGCACUUGUUGAUACAGGAGCAGAGAGGUGAGGCCGACUGCUGAAGACAGCUCGCCACCCUCCUUGCCUCCACUCCAAUCCAGGGGCUGGGGCCACAUUCUUUGCCUUCAUUUAUCCUCAGAUCAGGUGAGAUCGACAGGAGGUGUUGAUGGCAGUGCCAGCAAUUAUUGCUAAUCCGUUUGCAUCCUUAUGCAUAGAUCUGAAUUCAGACUUUGUGAAUUUCCAGAGGUGUGGGUAAUAUAAUAGAAUUCAGUGAGUGGGCAUGGCUGAUCUUGUGCAAAUUAAAAGUUAUGGGGCAUAAGAAUAGCAAAAGUUGAACUUCUUUUAAAAAGGAAAGUACCCUGAGAGCCAGUAUUGGUUGAGGCUCUUCAGUAUGCCCAGGUUGGCAGCACUGAGAACCGCAGGAACGGCCUGUUGUUACAAAAAGGAGAUUGACUCAGCUGCCCUUGGUGCAUCUGACUGACUAUGACUGCUGAGAGAUUCCAAGGACCCUUAAUGCCAGGGCUAACCUCUCCAUGUGCAGUGAGACCUCUGGAGGAAGUGUCAUCCUCUGGCUUUGUGUGGUACUCAUUAUGGUGCAGUGCGGGCAUGAAAUGAAGACACCCAAAUAGGCUUACAGAUACGAUAUGUUUUAAAUGUUCGUAUUUAACAAAAACAUACUGACACUGUUUGGAAAUGGCAACAGGAAGAUAGCAAAAUGAAUACUAACAUUACGAAAAGAUGAACAGGUACAUGUUCCAAGGCAGGUGGCUGUGAACUUCCUCUGAGUGAAGGCAUCCCCUCCAGCACCUUUCAGCCUGCUAGUUAGGACGACCCGCCGCCACCCUCCAGGACCUCCAGCCCUGCACUGCCUUUCCUCUCUUUUAAAUAAUUCUUCAUUGAGUUCUAAUAUGUAAAAAAAAAAAGUUUACUGUAAAGUUUGCAAAUAAGGAAAUUUUUUUUAAAAGUCCUCAGUAAUCUUACCAGUAACAAUUGUUAUGGGCACAUUUGCUUUUGGAAGAUUUCUUUUGUAUGCAUGGGAUAAGUACAUUUUUAAACAAAAAUGGGAUUAUGCCAUAAAUUCUAUUUUGUGACUUUAAUAUAUAGUGAACACCUUUUUUAAUGAUGACAGGAUGUUCCCUUGCAUGGCUGUAUCAAUUUAAACAAUCUUGUUUCAAUGGGCAUACAGGGUAUUUUCUAGUUUUUUUUUCCUCUUAGAAAAUAAUACUUGCGAUGACUUUCCUUGUAGCUCAGACUUUUUCACGUCUGUUGUUAUCUCUUUGGGAAUGCUGAAUACAUACAUUUCGAGAAGGAAAUGACUGUUAAACUCUUAAGACUUCAGGUUCAUAUUGCUAAACUGCCCAGCAGGGAGGGAUUUUUUCAAUUAGUGUUCUCACUGGUGAGGCAAACCUGAUGCCUUCCCCUCUUCCUCAGAACCGGCUUUAUCACAUUGAAAACCUUUGCUCCUCCGACGGAUCGAGUCUGCUUUCCCUCUGGAUGUGAGCAUUGCUUUGUCUGCUGGUGACUGAACAUCUCUACCUUGUGUCAAUUGGCCAUUUGUGGUGUGUGUGUGUGUGCGUGUGUGUGUGUGUGUGUGUGUAUGAUUUUCUAAUUCCUAGUCAUUUUUCUAUUGAUUGUUUUGCAAAAGCCAUUUACAUCUUAAGGAUAUUGAUAAUCUUUUGUUAUAUUUGAUGCAAAUAUUUUUUUCCAGUUUAUAGGUUGCCUUUUAAUUUUGUGUUUCAGGUAGAUAAAAGUUAAACGAUUUUCUUAGGUUAGUUUAUCACUGUGGUUUCUGAACUUGUUAUGUGUAGAUCUUUUCCACCCCAAGAGUACAUAAAUAUUAAUCCAUACUUUCUUAUGGAACUUGUAUGGUUUCGUUUUUUACAUUUAAACCUUCUUCCCCGUGGUGUGUGUUGUGGAAUCUGUGUUUGUGUGAGGAGGGGCAUGGUGCUCUCAGAACCCACCUCCUGUGGCCAGAGAGCCCUGUCCUGUGAGGGUGGUUGUCACAGUGGCAGGGUUCAAUUCAGAAGACCUUGAGGGCAGGCUGAUGUUUCCUGAAUGGGCCCCUGGUUGUUGCUUGUCCCUGACUCUCCAUUUCCCCAUCUGAGUGGAUUUGGACCUAAUAGGGCACUGGAGCUGGUUCGAAUCCUGACUGGACUACUUGGCAACUUUAUGUCUGGGAGCAAGUUACUUAACCUCCCCAAGCCUGUGUCUGUGAAAUGCGGGUAAAUGAAUGUAGAUGUUUGGCAGCAGCUACUCCUUGUUGAGCUCUCACAGUGAACUCUCCUGCCUCUGCCCUCCUUCCCCGCCUCCCCUGGUGCCUAGCGUCAGGUCUAGCCACUUCCUCCUGGGCCCCUCUCCCUUUUCUGUGGCUGGCUGCCUGCCCGCCUGGCGCUGGACCUUUCAUGUAACGGGAAUCAGCAUGUAUAUUCUGGUCUGGUCUGUUUCUACACUUAAUUUUGUUUCCAGUAGUAUUUCCCUGUACCGGCAGAGUUCACAAACACAUUUGAAGAGGCUUUUUCUCAGGAUUCUUAACCUUCCCAAAGGAAGUCCCAUGGAUGGGUUUCUAGAAGUCUAUAAAUGCUCUGAAAUUGUAUUUUUCUGUGGAAAGCAUAACUUUCAUCUGCUUGUUCGUGCUCAAAAAAGAUCAUGAAUGAAUGAUUGCAUGAUUUUAUGCCAUUGUGCUUAUACUAAAGGAUAUGUAGCCCAUCUCUUGAGCUGUUAAACUGUUUUGACUACUUUAAAUCGUGCAGCUGUGAGCAUCUCUGUAAAUUUAGUGUACACAUGUAUCCCCUGGAGUGGCAUUGCCUCGGCAGUGAGCACUUAUGGUUUUAUAACUCUCUUCACAGACUCAAAUGACUCCAGAAAGCUACACUUCCUGUUGUGAGUAUAUGAUAUCCAUUUCCCUACAUAGCCACUAACAUCAGGUUUUUACAAUUUUAUUUAUUUCUUGCUACUUUAAGAAAUUUUUGUGGUGAAAUACAUAUAAUAGAAGUUGACUAUCUGAAUCAUUUUUAAGUAUACAUUCAGUAGUGUUAAGUAUGUCGCCAUUGUUGUACAACCAAUCUCCAGAACUUUUUCAUCUUGCAAAACAAACUCUGUACCCAUUAAAUAACAUUAAACAUUCCAUUCCCUCCAGCCUCAGCAACCCCAUUCUACUUUCUGUUUCUGUGAGUUUGACUAUUCCAAGCACUUCAUAUCAGUUAAAUCAUGAAGUAUUUGUCUGUCUGUGACUGGCUUAUUUCUCUGAGCACAGUGUCCUCGAGAUGCGUCUAUGUUGUAGCAUAUGUCAGAAUUUCCUUCCUUUUUAAAAGAUCCAAAUAAUAUUCUUAUUUUAUAUCUUUUUUUUAUCCAUUCAUCCAUUAGUGGACACUUGGGUUGCUUUUGGCUAUUGUAAAUAAUGGUGCUAUGUACAAAUAUCUAUAUUAUUGUAUUUACAAGUAUAAUGCUGUAAUGUACACACAUCUUUUUGAGAUCCUACCUUCAGUUCUUUUGAGUAUAUAGCCAGAAGUGGUAUUACUAAAUCUUACGAUAUUUCUAUUUUUAAUUUAUUGAGGAACCACUGUAGUUUUUCAUAGCAACUGCACCAUUUUACGUUCUCACCAAGAGUGCACAAGGGUUCCGAGGUUCCCACAUCCUCCCCAACACUUGUUAUUUUCUGCUUUUUUUAGAUUGCAGCCAUCAUAGUGGGUGUGAGGUGACAUUUCAUUGUGGUUUUGAUUUGCAUUUCCCUAAUGAGGAGUGAUGCUGAGCAUCUUUUCAUAUGCUUACUGGUCAUUUGUAUGUUGUCUUUGGAAAAAUGUCUAUUCAAGUCCUUUGACUAUUUUAAAAAUUGGGUUAUUAGAGUUAUCGUUGUUGUUGACUUGUAGGAGUUUCUUUCUAUAUUCUGGAUAUUAAUCCCCUAUCAGAUAUAUGAUUUGCAAAUAUCUUCUCUUAUUCCAUAAGGUUACUUUUUCACUUUGUUGAUUGUGUUCUUUGAUGUAUAGAAGUUUUUAGUUUUGAAAUAGUCUAAUUUAUCUGUUUUUACUUUUGUGGUCUGUGCUUUUGGUGUCAUAUCCAAGAAAUCCUUGCCAAAUCCAACGUUAUAAGGUACUUUUAAGGUAUUUUAGUUGUCUUAGUCUAUAUUUCUGUACUCACCUUUCUUUAUCCACUCAUCAGUUGAUGGGCAUGUAGGUUGGUUCCAUAUCUUUGCAAUUCUGAAUUGUGCUAUGAUCAGGUGUCUUUUUAGUAUAAUGAUUUACUCUCCUUUGGGUAGAUACCCAGUAGUGGGAUUGCUGGAUCGAAUGGUUUUUAUAAUUUUCUAUUUUACCACAGUUUCUCUCUGCAUUUUUCCUCUUUGACCACUAACCAUGUGAAAUUCUCAUAUUGACCUUUAUAAUGAUCAUGAACUCUUAGUAUCAUUGGGAAGGCCACAUUUGCCACUUAUGAUUGUAAACCUUAUCCUCCAUUUUUCCUGUUAUUGUUGGUGCAAAAAGCACCUAUUAUACCAGGACUUUAAAAAUCAGUCUGAUAAGUCUUUGAUAAGUCUAAUAAUAAUAACUGAUAAGUCCAUUGAAUUUGCUUCUGAUUACUUUUUCUUUAGUAGCUAAACAUGUAUGUACUCCUAUGAUUACAAUGAACACUCCUCUCCAUUUAAAUUAAUUAUUUACAUUGAUGAAAUAGCAAAAUGUUAAUGACUAAAUACUGUCUUGGUUUUUUCGUUCCAGGUCAGUCAAUAUUAACUUCUUAUAAUUUUCUUUUUUUUCUUUAUGUGUGUGUGUGUGUGUAUUUUUUUUUUUUUAAUUUCAAUGGCUUUUGGGGUACAAAUGGCUUUUGGUCAUAUAGAUGAAUUCUACAGUAGUGAAGUCUGAGAUUUUACUGCACCGGUCACCUGAGUAGUGUACAUUGUACCCAAUAUGUGGUUUUUUAUACCUUGCCCCCCUCUUACCCUCCCCACUUUGAGUCUCUAGUGUCCAUUAUGUCACUCUGUAUACCUUUUUGUACCCAUAAGUUAGCUCUCACUUAUAAGUGAGAACACACAGUAUUUGGUUUUCCAUUCCUGAGUUGCUUCACUUAGAAUAAUAUCCUCCAGCUCCAUCCAAAAUUGCUGCAAAAAAAAAAAAAACCACAAACAUUAUUUUGUUCUUUUUUAUUGCUAAGUCAUAUUCCAUGGUGUAGAGAUACCACAUUUUAUUUAUCCACUCACUGGUUGAUGGGUUGGUUCCACAUCUUUGCAAUUGUGACUUGUACUGCCAUCAAGUGUCUUUCUGGUAUAAUGACUUCUUUUCCUUUGGGUAGAUACCCAGGAGUGGGAUUGCUAGAUCAAAUGGUUCUUAACAUUUUCUCUCUGGAUCUAUUUCUGGAAAUUUUAGGCUCCAGUUUUUGUUGUUGUUGUUAAUAAAAUGCAAUGGAAUGUAAUGAUCAUCACUUUUCAUUAUGCUUUAAAAUCUGGUAAAUGGAGGCUAGAACACUCCUGUAAGGCAAGAAUAUUCUCUCUGUUGGAACUCAAAUACACAGAACUGGGUAAAUCUCAAUCUUAAUCUUUGAUUCAGGACACAACAUGGCUCUCUUUUACUUGCUUUCUUUAAUUGUUUUUUAAUAAUGUGGUAAGCAUUUCUGAAUCUCCUAUCCAAUACAAAAACUAGGACAAUACAGACAGUAACUCCUAUGGUUACAAUGAACACUCCUCUCCACUUAAAUUAAUUAUUUACACUGAUGAAAUUGAAAUAGCAAAAUUUUAAUGACUAAAUACUGUCUUUGAUUUUUUGUUCCAGGUCUGUCAAUAUUAACUUCUUAUAAUUUUCUUUUUUUUUCUUUAUGUGUGUGUGUGUGUGUGUAUAUAUAUAUAUUUAAUUUCAAUGGCUUUUGGGGUACAAAUGGCUUUUGGUCAUAUAUAUGAGUUCUACAGUAGUGAAGUCUGAGAUUUUACUACACCUUCCACUUAUGUGGUCCCACACCACCCGCCUCCCCUGCCGCCUCCUGCCACCCCCUAGGCCAAGGUAAUAAUCAUCCUGAAUCCUGGGUUUAUCUCUCACUUGCUUUCUUUUCAUAUAAUUUUGCAAAAGAAUCUGAUCUAAAUGUGUUUUUCAGAGUAUAUAUUUAUAUUUUAGCUGUUCUUAGAGAAAAUUUAUUAUUUUGCAUGUAAUCUUAUGGAACAUUCUCAUUUAAUACCAUGGUAAGAUUCAGCCCUUGCCCAGGGGAUAGUUCAUUUAGUUUGUUUACUGGAUAGAGCUCAUCAUGUGACUAUACCUCAGUUAGUUUAUCAGUUCUCCCAUCCAUGGUGACUAGGUUGCCUCUCAGCCUCUCAACAACACUGUUUCUCAGUGUCCUUGUAGAAGUGAUAUGUGGGUGUUUUCUCCUUACACAGAGUUGAAAGGUGACGACAACAACGUUGGCACUACCAAUCCCCCACCCUCCAGAGGGGUAACCAGUGUUACCAGUUUGCUGUGUUUCCUGCUACACCUCGCCUUAUUCACUUCCAUUUGUAUCUGAAAAACGUGUUGCAUGGUUUCUUUUCUAUAGAAGUGGUAAAAUGCUAUUGUGUCCUGUACAUUAUUGAUUACUUUUUUUCAUUUAACAGUAGGGAGAUGCCUGGGAGUACACAGAGAACUGCCCUCAUUGUUUUCAACUUCUGCACUGUAUGUCUGUGAGUUUAGCCAUUCUGCUGUUAAUGGAAAUUUACAGUAUUCUAAUCUUUUGAUAUUACAAACAGUUCUGUGCGAUCAUCGUCAUACACAACCCCUUGUGCACAAUGCAUGAGUGUUUCUCAGGGUAGGUACCAAGAAGUGAAAUUCCUGGGUCAUAGGGCGUGAGUCCGACAUUUUUCUCCAUUCUGCCCUGUUGCCCUCCAGAGUGGGUGUCCAGCUUUGCAUACCUAAGUAUGAGAGUAUCUGUUGUUCAUAUCCUCUACGACGCUCCAUAUAUGAAACUUAAGUUUCUGCUAGUUGCCAUCUUUGAUCUAUCAUGUAUGCAGUGACCUACUAAGACUGUAAUUGGUACAGUAGAUUCUUGUCAUCUGUGUGUGAAUUUAGCAUUCAUGGGCUUAAUGCUGACAAGGCCCCCAGGGUCCAAGACAUAUAAUCAUGUAUAAUUUUGUCAAGGUAUAAUUUUUUAAAUUGCUUUUGUCAUGUGUCUGCUGGUGAUGCCCAACCCAGUGCUCUGCACCCAGGUCACACUGUGGCUUUGUCCUCUGCUUAUGCCUGCAUUGCAGCAACUGUCCUGAAGAGACCAAAAUUAUGCAGAUUUAGAGGCCACCGUCAUGGCCAGUUGCUGCAGUUUCUUUCCAGAGAACCUGUGUAUGUGUAAAGCUGUACAGGCGUGGGUACACCACACAGCCUGUCUUGCACUGUGGACUGUUGAGUUACUAGUACAUCUAGAAUUCUCCUGGCUAUUCCAGGCUGCAUGUUUACCUUAACCUUCCCUGUGAUGUCUUCAUGCCGUUGUCUUCUUAUGCAAGAAUAAGAGUGUGUUUUGACUGCCCCCAUUUCUGAGGCCUUGUAAGGCCAGAGCUUUGUUGCUUCAUCGGCAGGUUGGGACUUAGAUGGCCGUGAAUGUUUCCUCUCUGCUGCUGCAGUAAGUAAGUGCCCGCACCAUAGUGUGUUUGGAGGCUGAAGUUGAAGCGAGGCUGUGAGGGGAGAUGGACGUGUGAGGAGGGAUGAUGGGGCUUGAGCAAAGUGGGGGAGGGGGCAAAGGCAGUUGGCCCAACACAUUCCCCACCCCUUUGAGAGGUCUGAGGCCUGCAGACCUGGCUCGGAGCCCACCUGGUAGUCCUCAGACUGUGUGUGUGUGUGUGUGUGUGUGUGUGUGUGUGUGUGUGUGUGUGUGUGUGUGUGUGUAAAAGAGAGAAGUUGUGGAGAAAUGGGGGGCUGAUUCUGCUCAGAUUCAUCAGGAUGAGUAGAAGGCACCCAGCUCUCACCCUGGCCUGACAUGUGUGUCCCUGAGCAGGUUACAGUCCUCUCUGAGCCUCUGCUUCCCAUCUGGACCCUGCUGGGCAGGGCUUCUGAGCUCCUUAGCACUAGCAGGAGGGGCUCCAGGGGCCCUCCCUCCAUGGCAGCCAGGACAGGACUCUCAAAUGAGGACAGCAGAGCUCGUGGGGGGCUCCCACGGACCCGCCGUGGGCCCAGGGGAGGCAGAGCCUGAGCCAACAGCAGUGGUGCUGUGGACCGUGGAUCCUGAGGGUGGCCUGGGGCAAGUACCGGCUGAGGGUCCAGGUGGGCUUUGUGUACCUUUGGGUCCUGGGGCCCUGGUGACUUGGACUCCAGGUUAGAGUCAAGUGACAGGAGAAAGGCUGGUGGGGCCCUGUGCUUCCGACUUCAUUUCGAGUGAUGGCAGUUCCCAGGAAGGAAUCCACAGCUGACGGUGGCUGACAGAUCAGAGAAUGGAAGGCGAGGCAGGCGGGCGUCUGCGUGACCUCAGGUGCUUGGGGCCCAGCAGACCCAGAGAACCAUUUCCACUAGGCCAGGGUGCCGGAAGUGUCCACAGGUCUUAGAUUCCCUGUUCAGAUGAAAAGAUUUGUGCCUUUAAUGAUAAAAGUGAUCUGCAUAGAGUCAAAAAUUCAAGCCAUGGGUAUAAAAUGCAAGUAAAAUCCCUGCCCUCACCUAUCCCACCCUACUACACAGAGAUGUCCUCUCGAGUUUCCUAGACUCACUCUGGAAAUUUCUGUAUACACACAGAAGCUUGUGCCUCUGCUCGUGAAGGCAGAGGGAGGGAGAGCUGAAGGGCCAGCACCUUCUCACCUGUGGGCCCCCUCAGUGCUCGGUCCCAGAGCAUGCAGGACUGUGCCUCGUGUUCAGUUUGCUGGUCUGACUUCAUGCUCCUUGGGCAGGAUAUGCAUGUGCCAUGCUAGGAGACAUGUGGAUGUGAAGCUGGGGGACAAUGUCCCCUGGCUAUGCCUUUACAAGGGAAGUAAGGAAGGUAGGAGGUGAG